GGGGGCAUAGCUCAGCUGGGAGAGCGCUAGAAUCGCACUCUAGAGGUCGGGGGUUCGAAUCCCCCUGUCUCCACCA
rnacentral:tRNA from 1 species